rnacentral:rRNA from 1 species
UACGAAGGGGGCUAGCGUUGUUCGGAAUUACUGGGCGUAAAGAGCUCGUAGGCGGUCUGUCGCGUCGGCUGUGAAAUCCCGAGGCUCAACCUCGGGUCUGCAGUCGAUACGGGCAAACUAGAGUAUUGCAGGGGAGACUGGAAUUCCUGGUGUAGCGGUGAAAUGCGCAGAUAUCAGGAGGAACACCGGUGGCGAAGGCGGGUCUCUGGGCAAUAACUGACGCUGAGGAGCGAAAGCGUGGGGAGCGAACAGG